rnacentral:rRNA from 1 species
AACCAAUGGCCUCCUGAACCUGAGAGUAUGUCUGCUUCAGCGCUU